rnacentral:snRNA from 1 species
GUUAGCUUCGGCAGUGCAUAUACGAAAAUUGGAACUGUACAGAGAAGGUUAGCAUGGCCCCUGUGCGAGGGUGACAUGCAAAUUCCUGAAGCCUUCCAUCCAAAA